rnacentral:rRNA from 1 species
UACGGGGGGGGUAAGCGUUGUUCGGAAUUACUGGGCGUAAAGGGCUCGUAGGCGGCCAACUAAGUCAGACGUGAAAUCCCUCAGCUUAACUGGGGAACUGCGUCUGAUACUGGAUGGCUUGGAUCCGGAAGAGGGAUGCGGAAUUCCAGGUGUAGCGGUGAAAUGCGUAGAUAUCUGGAGGAACACCGGUGGCGAAGGCGGCAUCCUGGGCCGGUAUUGACGCUGAGGGGCGAAAGCCAGGGGAGCAAACGGG